ensembl:snRNA U1 U1 spliceosomal RNA
AUACUUACCUGGCAGGAGAGUAGGAAGGUGGUUUGCCCAAAGCGAGGCUUUUCCAUUGCACUUGAGAUAUGCAGGUCCCUGUGAUUUCUCCAAACGCAGGAAACUCAAAACAUGAUUGCAUUGUUUGUGUUGGUUGUGGACACGUUCACAUUCUCCCCUC